rnacentral:misc_RNA from 1 species
AAGUCGUAACAAGGUUUCCGUAGGUGAACCUGCGGAAGGAUCAUUAACACAUGAUUUUUAUUCAAAUAACCAAACGGCGCAUAACAGAAUCGACACGGCUAAGGCUUGGGGGAAACGCGCAGUUCCUCUCUGUAAUGGAAGGAAAUGCUCCCAAGAUGUUUGUCCACAGAAGCAGAGCAAUCUGUUUGGUGUGAGGUGAUACUUAGACUGUGCUCGGUGCCUACAGCCCCUGCGAUGGCUGGCCCUUUUUUCUUUUUAAACCUUACCUUCUAGCACUUAGAAUGCUUGUCUGUGCUUUUUGAAAGGGGAUUGAAACUCUUCGUGAGUUCUCCUUUUUUUCGAAUGGCCUGACUCGCGAUCUCUUGAGUGGAGUCCUCUGGACUUUUGCUCAUCGGAAUUCAAACACAACUCUUAACAGCGGAUAUCUCGGUUCUC